AGGAAAUGUCGGAAUCCGCAAGCGGUUCGGAGCAGUUGCUUAAUGCAUAGCCAGUGCCAGCAGAGCCAUGUGACUGGAGACACAGAAACUGAAUCACACCCUAGCACCUGUGAUGCCCAGUUCCACCUCUUCCGGGAAGGGAGCAUUGGAGGCUGCGGACAUGCUAUGGUUUGGAUGGGUGUGUUCUCCAAGGGCUCCUUAAGAAAGGCUUGGUCUCAGCCGGCAGAGCCCAUCGCUGACUGCAUCAUCAUGACCUUGACCUAACUGAUGGUUCACUGUCCCUGCAUCAAUACGUUCAGAGCCCCACGAGAAGACUUUGAGAGCACACCGCAUAAAGUUGUGAAGAUGAAGCCUGGGCUGCAUUUUGACACAAGAUGCUGCGAAACCUCAGCUGUGAAACCUCCGCCGUAGAGAGCUGUGCGUAGGCAGGAGAGUAACGGAAGGCAGAUAGGUAUGAGACGCUGCAGGGGAAACGGGCCGUCUAGGCCCCGUCAGAGAUAGAGCGGCAGGGUCUGGUGCUGCCUCUGCUGGGUUUAGUUUUGCUCUGGCCCCAUCUUUUCCCACUAUGUCCCCCGUCCUCUCCUUUAGAAUGGUAAUAUAUAUUCAUGAUUGCUUUCUUAAUGGUUCCAUGUGGAGUCAGAUCCUUUAAGAUUCCCCUAUUUCUCCCAAUGGUGAAUUCAGUUUUUGUCCUAGACCAGUCACAUGCUCAGAAGCCGCAGGCCAAAUUUCUAUCUUUGUGAACUCAGGAUAGACAACAGCCUCAUUGGGGACAGGAGACCUACUCCCAAGUCAGCACGUAUUAAACAGCAAGGCCGAUUGGUCACUGUGAUUUGGGGGAUUAUAAAGAGAAAAAAAGAGCUCGACAAUCCUUGGAAAAGAACCUUUCAACCAAAUGGCUUGAGGCUGUUCUCCGACACUCCUGACACGCUGGGAGCGGCUUAUCAGUGAGGCCCAGUUUCUCCCAUCUUCCUUAUCAGAAUCUCUGUGAAGUACACAAAUGACUAGAUUCCAUUAUCAGAUGCUUCAGCUUAUUGCUUAUUUGUUUCCAUGUGUGCAUUCAGAUGGGUGUGGACCACAGCGCACACAGGGAGGCCAGAGGACGGCUUGUGGAGUCAUUUCUCUGUAGUGUCCAGGAACUGACUCAGGCUGCCAGCUCUGUGCACUUCUACCAUCUGGGGCAUGGCACUGGCCCACAAAUUUGAAUUUCUAAAAUUUCUCAAGUCCAAGGAUUGCAUAGCUCAGCAACACUUUAAUCAUUUGUAAAUCCCUCCGGACAAGCACACUUAUACAGUCAAUGGGAUAUACUACCAUCCACGGCCUGUUCCUUGGGGCCUAAAAAGAACCCAAGGUCCUUUUCUUCUUUACUCCCUGAUAAAAUAAAGUUGAAAGUGAGAUUCUAAAUAUGCUGCUUUCUGGGACCUGCUGGCUGAUAGGUAAAGGCGUGAUGGCUAAUCUUCAUUCUCAACUAGACUUGGAGCCACCUGGGAGCCACCUGGGAGGCACAUCGGUGAAGGUGUCCAGAGAGGUUCCCAGGGAAGACCCACCCUGAAGGCAAGCAGCACCAACCCUUGGGCUGAGGUAUUGGACUGAAUAGGAGGGCGAAAGAGGAAAGGAAACUAAGUAUCCUCAC